UAAAUAGACAAUCCAGUAGGGAGCUGUGUGC
rnacentral:piRNA from 1 species